rnacentral:rRNA from 1 species
AGCAGCAGCCACGGUAAUACGAAGGGUGCAAGCGUUAAUCGGAAUUACUGGGCGUAAAGCGUGCGUAGGCGGUGAGUUAAGUCUGCUGUGAAAUCCCCGGGCUCAACCUGGGAAUGGCAGUGGAUACUGGCUCGCUAGAGUGUGUCAGAGGAUGGUGGAAUUCCCGGUGUAGCGGUGAAAUGCGUAGAGAUCGGGAGGAACAUCAGUGGCGAAGGCGGCCACCUGGGACAACACUGACGCUGAGGCACGAAAGCGUGGGGAGCAAACAGGAUUAGAUACCCGCGUAGUCCCUGUCUCUUAUAC